rnacentral:rRNA from 1 species
UACGUAGGAUGCAAGCGUUGUCCGGAUUUAUUGGGCGUAAAGAGCUCGUAGGCGGCUUGUUGCGUCGACCGUGAAAACCCGUGGCUCAACUGCGGGCUUGCGGUCGAUACGGGCGGGCUAGAGUUCGGUAGGGGAGACUGGAAUUCCUGGUGUAGCGGUGGAAUGCGCAGAUAUCAGGAGGAACACCGGUGGCGAAGGCAGAUCUCUGGGCCAUAACUGACGCUGAGGAGCGAAAGCGUGGGGAGCGAACAGG